GGGCUUUGGAGAAGGAUGCACUCCGAAAUGAGUCGUCGAGGGAGUUGGGAGGGAGGAGUUCGGGUUGUCCUGGAACAGUGCCACCAGCAUCAAGAGAAGACACUGGUAUUGAAUGCAUUAUACAGUGCAUUCUCCGGGGUCCCCGUGUGCCUAAGACGUUUAGUUCAUAACUUAUAUGGGCUAUGUUAUAACUGCCAGUUGGGACUUUUGGUGAGACCUUUUUU
rnacentral:misc_RNA from 1 species